AUGCACGCUGGCGGCGUGCCUAAUACAUGCAAGUCGAGCGAACGGACGAGAAGCUUGCUUCUCUGAUGUUAGCGGCGGACGGGUGAGUAACACGCGGAUAACCUACCUAUAAGACUGGGAUAACUUCGGGAAACCGGAGCUAAUACCGGAUAAUAUUUUGAACCGCAUGGUUCAAAAGUGAAAGACGGUCUUGCUGUCACUUAUAGAUGGAUCCGCGCUGCAUUAGCUAGUUGGUAAGGUAACGGCUUACCAAGGCAACGAUGCAUAGCCGACCUGAGAGGGUGAUCGGCCACACUGGAACUGAGACACGGUCCAGACUCCUACGGGAGGCAGCAGUAGGGAAUCUUCCGCAAUGGGCGAAAGCCUGACGGAGCAACGCCGCGUGAGUGAUGAAGGUCUUCGGAUCGUAAAACUCUGUUAUUAGGGAAGAACAUAUGUGUAAGUAACUGUGCACAUCUUGACGGUACCUAAUCAGAAAGCCACGGCUAACUACGUG
rnacentral:rRNA from 1 species